rnacentral:rRNA from 1 species
CCAAUAGCGUAUAUUAAAGUUGUUGCAGUUAAAAAGCUCGUAGUUGAAUUUUAGGCCUGGCCGGGCGGUCCGUCUUUGGCGAGUACUGUCCUGUGUCGGGUCCACCUUCUGGUGAACCAGUAUGUCCUUUAUUGGGUGUGCCGGGGAGCCAGGACCAUUACCUUGAAAAAAUUAGAGUGUUUAAAGCGGGCAUUUGCUUGAAUAGAUUAGCAUGGAAUAAUAGAAUAGGACGUUGUGGUUCUAUUUUGUUGGUUUCUAGGACCACCGUAAUGAUUAAUAGGGAUAUUUGGGGGCAUUAGUAUUCAAUUGUCAGAGGUGAAAUUCUUGGAUUUAUUGAAGACUAACUAUUGCGAAAGCAUUUGCCAAGGAUGUUUUCAUUAAUCAAGAACGAAAGUUAGGGGAUCGAAGACGAUCAGAUACCGUCGUAGUCUUAACCAUAAACUAUGCCGACUAGGAAUCGGGCGACGUUAUUUUCAUGACUCGCUCGGCGCCUUAUG